GCUGAUUCUUCCCGCACCGGCCUCAGCCUGCCCUCUCUCUCUCUCUCUCUCUCUCUCCCCCUUCCUUCCUCGAGCAGCUCCACGCGCGACGCCAUCCCAAUGCUCUCCACGCCUCAUUGGACCCCAGGAAGCAAUCGCGCUGAUCGGGGCCGCCGCCUAGCGGUGCCGUGCGGGUUAGGGCGCGAGGCUGGCGCUAGCUCGAGCUCGCGGCUGCCGCAAGGUGCUGGAAAGGUGAGGAGUAUGUCCUCGAUACGAUUUGGAUUUGUUAGAAGCCAGCUCCUCUGUUCUGGCACCAUUUGCUAGGAUUUUGUUAUGGUGUUUAUUAGGCAGCCAUGAAAAGUCUGAUAUGCUUCGAACAGAAGAUGGACAUCAGACACAAUGGGAAAUGGGUGCAACUGCAAGGAGAACAGAUUAACAUCACAUCAGUGGUCAGCAACAAGAUCCAUUAACACCACGCAAGGUCCACAAAAGCCUUUAGCGGCCAUGGGUGUUCCGCAGCGGAGGCAGCAGGUGCGCCGGCGGCCAGAAAGGUGGCUACUGUCGUUCUCGAUGAUGAAAUGGUACCGCUUCACGCAGACCGGGUGUCCACUCCAGCCUACAACCAAACAAACAAAUCAGACGCAUGAUUCCAUUGCAGAUGCCGUGUUGUUGUAUGUAACAGUGUGCAAGUAUAUGACAAUUCAAUCAAUCAUUCUAACGGGCGGUUGCACACUGAAAGCAACAGCCUAACGAUUGGGAUUGGCUGAUACGACGAAAACUAGCAGAUAUUUCAGUGGGAAAAAAACUGCCCGCAAAAAUCAAUAAAAUUUCUAAGAAAUAAGACAGUCGUUGGAUUUCAAAAACUUAAAUCGACGACAAGAAAACAGUAACAGAGGAGCAGAUCGUAAGAAGAAAAAAACGAACGGGUUCGUCCAUUGAAUCCAAAACAAAAAAAAAUCGGAGGAAAAAAGGACGAAAAAGUGAGGAAAGCAACUCACCCACGACUCUGCACUGGUCACAAUACACAGAUCGGGAUCGGAGCACAUCCUCCUCAACGACGUUGAGCUCUACCCCGCCGCCGCUCUCUUCCUCCCCGGCCUCCCCGACCCUUAGGGACACCCUCCAGAUCAGCAGGUGCGGCGGGGCGGCCGCGGCCGCCGGAGAGAAGAUGGACGGCAACGGGAGCAGCCUCGCAUGCUUUGCGAGGAACCCUCUCACCGCCUCCCUGAACGUCCCGGCCGCCCCGCAGUCUCCGGCCGCCGGGAACCUCGCGAAGUCCCUGGCCUCGACCCGCGCCCUCGCCCUCUUCAGCGGCCGGCCGUUGACCACCAUCUCCCCCUCCGCCGCCGUCGUCAGAUCCCCUCAGAUCUGCAACGCACCGUCGUCUUCCUCGUCGUCGAUUAACCGGAUCGGAACUCAGGUUAGGGUUUGCGGCGGCGGCGGUAGCUGCGAGAUAACGAGGAGGAUGGUGAUGGGGUCGAUUCCUUCGAGGUGAAGCACGAUCAGGUGCGCCUGGUCUUUGUGCACCAGAGGGGACGGAGCAAAUGUCGGGCCCACGUAAUCGUGCGUGGCGUACAGUGGAGUGGGUCUAUGCAUGCUAUGGUGGAAUGGGCUCGUCAGGUCGUGGCAGAGCGCUAACCAGGGUUAAUCGUGGGUGGGGUGGGUGGUUGGGUUCGAGAGCUUUCCGAAAAGGAGGCGCGAGAAAUGGGAGGGAAUAAAGGAUCGGGGCAGUGUCGUCAUUUUGUAUCCAUGGCUCGAUGAGAGGUCCAGUACGGCACAUCAAAGUGAUCCUGUGUAGGGACAAAUUACACAACUGCCCUCAUAGUCCGUGGACCCUAGAAUGCUUUUAUUUCGAUUCGUUGUGUACAGACCACAGAAUCCCUCCACUCGAAACGUGUCCACUGUAAUCUUUAUAGGCGACUUUCUCAAGUCACAGAGACAAGUGAUACGGUAUUUUUUAAGUAUACCCUUCU